rnacentral:rRNA from 1 species
UACGUAGGGUGCGAGCGUUGUCCGGAAUUAUUGGGCGUAAAGGGCUCGUAGGCGGUUUGUCGCGUCGGGAGUGAAAUCCACUGGCUUAACUGGUGGCUUGCUUUCGAUACGGGCAGACUGGAGGUAUGCAGGGGAGAACGGAAUUCCUGGUGUAGCGGUGAAAUGCGCAGAUAUCGGAAGGAACACCGGUGGCGAAAGCGGCGUGCUGGAUCCCUUCUGACGCUGAGGCGCGAAAGCCAGGGGAGCGAACGGG